rnacentral:lncRNA from 1 species
UAAGAAAUGCACCGUAUUUUUUUUGCGCGUGUCGGAGUUGCGACUGCAGCCGGUGCCGUAGCCCGACAACGACAUACACGUGGAGAACUUGUGGCGGGUGAUCAGCGUCGUCUUUUCCCGUGUACCGUUCAUUUUCAUGAACUGUGCGGGUUCAUUAGCGUCUUAUAGUCUGUCCGGUAUUCCGCUAUCGCAAAGGCGUAGCAUGUGCCAUAGCUGCUGCCACGUCAAUUGGCGCCAGCUAUGGACAAAAAAAGAACUAACAAACACGCAG